UUCCAUCCUUACUAAAAUUGUCUCAUAAUAAUGACUAUUUUUUUGUUUUGUUUUUAUAAUUUGUAGGUUCUGAAUCUUUAGAUUUUUAAUUUUAUUGUCUUUUGAAAGUUUGACCAUCUGAAUUUUUAGGUUCAAUGUAUUGCAAUAUCUAAAACUAUUUGGCAAAUUUCAACUGUUAUAACUAUGGAUUAUUCUCUUGAAGAAGGUGUAGAAGUGGUGGAAAAAGAAGAGGUAGAGGUAGAGGUGGAGAUGAAGGAGUAUGAAGCCCUUAAAAAGUUUGGAAAUGACGUCUGACCUUCAGGGAAAAUGUCAUAUCUCAAUUGGGAGAGGUUGAGGAAGAAUAGGGUCAAAGCCGAAGUCCGUCAUGGAGAUAUUAUCUCAUUUGAUAAGAAUAUCAUUCCAUAUUUUUAUAUAUGAUUAAUGUUACUGAUGUGGUAGAUAUUUACUGAUUUCAAGAUUCAAACUUCGAACGCAUUGCUUGAGGCGGACAUAAUUUGCUAUCGCAAUGUAUUUUAUUUUUAUUUUCUUUAUAAUCUGUAGGACUGGUCUUGAUUCUGUAGGUUCCUUGAACAAAUUGAAUUUAAGGAAUUGUUACCCUUAAAACAUAUAUUCUAAUGCUUUCAAGUGAUCAUGUUUGACAACCUACAUAGUUAUUAACCUUUUUGUCUCCUUCAACUUAUAACUUGCAUUUGCGUUUGCAUUUGUGUAAGAAGUUCUUGCGUCCACACCGAUGCUAGA